rnacentral:rRNA from 1 species
GAAAGCAGCGAAGUCGUGAGGCGGAGCAAAUCUCGAAAACCGGUCCCAGUUCGGACUGCAGGCUGCAACUCGCCUGCACGAAGCCGGAGUUGCUAGUAAUCGCGGAUCAGAAUGCCGCGGUGAAUGCGUUCCCGGGUCUUGUACACACCGCCCGUCACACCAUGGGAGUUUGUAACGCCCAAAGUCGGUGGCCUAACCUUUAUGGAGGGAGCCGCCUAAGGCGGGACAGAUGACUGGGGUGAAGUCGUAACAAGGUAGC